ensembl:lncRNA
CACGCAGGCCUCCCAGUCAGGAUGAUUCCCUCUGGUGGCCUCACUGCCAUCACCACAGAGUGUGGAUGGCGCCACCUGCAUGAUGCAUGUAAAGUGCCCCAAGCCUGGCGGGUGGUGGGUGUGCCCUGAGUGACAGCAGCUGUGGUCACCCGGGCCUGGACUCCACCCACCAGCCUGACCUGGUUUGGGGCCGAGAAGCUGUCGCAGUGCCAUGCUGUGCUCUACAAAGGGAAUGUUGUGUCAGGCCACAGCUGCAGAGUGGCCAGCCCAGGAAACGAAGCCUGUUUGCCACCCUGUCAUUAAGAGCCCAGGUGAUCUUCCCAGGCCUCAGUCAUCCCUCAUAAGAAGAUGCCUGGAUGGAGGUGCCCUGGGCCCCUCCUGCUUCAACAGGCUGCCCACUUGAAUGGUCGUGCAGACUUAGAGUGGCCGUCUCACCCCUGACCACGCAUCACAAUCACCUGUUCUGGAGGCUGGCAGUCUGAGAUCAGGAUGCCAGCGUUGUGGAAUUCUGGCGAGGAUCCUCUGCCUGGUUCUCAAACCCUCUCCACUUAUAAGGGCUCUGAUCCCAACCUGAGGGCUCCGCCCUCAUGACCUAGUGGAGCCCUAAUCACCUUCCAAAGGCCCCACCUCCAGAUACCAUCCCCCUGGGGAGUAGAGUUUCAACACAUGAAAUUUGGGAGGACACAAACAUUCAGUCCACGACAACGAGACGAGUCAGGAGAGGAGGAGCGAGGACUGAGGGAGCUUGCAGGAGCAUUCUAAUCCACAGUCAACAGAUAAAAUGAGGAAGAGGCGCCCUGAGCUCCUGACGUUCUUCACAUCCCACUUGGCCCCCAGAUUCCUCCACGGGGCCCCUUCUGUGGAAGACCUUCCAGCGCCAGUGCUUGCCAACUAUCUAUAAAGCUGUGUGGGAUGAAGACGUGGUUCGAGACAACAGUAGCCCCAGGUAAUCGGCACUUAUUAUUGUCUUCCAGACUUUGUUUUCAGGACAUCACCUACUCUAUCUCACUUAAUCCUCACACUAACCCUAUGAAAAGGUAUUACCCCAUCUCUAGGUACAGAUAAGGCACAGAGAGGUUGAGUAACUUGCCCCAGGGCACACAGUUGAGGAAUUCAAACCCCAGGUGAUUCUGAUUCCAAAGGCCACUUCAUAGCACUGUUUUAAGCUACUUCCCAGGCCUAGGAGAGGUGGCCAGCAAGCCCCUAAGAUCACCACUCCAUAAUGGGGGUCUCCAUCACCACUGCACGGGGAAUGUGUUUGUGCAGAACGCCUUAGUUCUUCUCUGGGGCAGCUAGUGUGCUGGGGGAGGGGGCUCAGGAGAGAAGCCAGAGCUGAAUGGACAGGGAAUCUGUCCAGCUGGACCAGAACUGAUGGCCUGGACAGGUGGGGGGUAGUGCAGACUAGUGCCUUGUCUCUGAAAGGAAGGAGAAUGUGAAAGUCGCUCUUAAAGAACACCACGCAGCAGGUGAGAUGGUCCUGGCUACUUGGAGGACCCCGACUGGCUUAAGACAUCCCAUGGAGUCCAGGCCUGGUCUAUUCACUCCCCUGCCCCUGCCCCUGCCCCUGCCCCUGCCUUUCCUCCUCCCCUCCUCCCUGCCGUGGGUUUCUCCCCUUUGGCUUUUAUUUACCCUAAGGUCAUUGUUCAUCCAGGUGUGCUCAUUUCUUCUAGUCUAUACAGCCUGCAAGUGAAUACACUCCACAUGGAGUUUUACUAGCUCUGGUUGGCCCAGGAUGCACCAGGCUUUGCCAAUUUCACCCAAGGAAGAACCAACUAUUAAAGCAGGCUGGGGAAAUCACCAGGGGUUUGUAGGGAUGGUAAUCCUACAAAAUCACCAUCCUUGAAACGUCAUUUGGAUCCCUGAGUUCAGUUUCGAGUGGAUGUAGGAUGACCACCAUUCUGAGAAGUUUCCAGGAUGUGGGAAUUUCAGUGCUAAAAUGAGAAGUUCCUGGCAAACCAGGAUGAGUUGGUCACCCUAAUUAGCGGCUACUCUCCAGGAAACUCAUCUUCACUUUCUAAAUGCUGCAGGCGCCAUGGGCCUCAGCCGCUGAAGGCGCUUUGAGAACUGUCGAGCGGAGGAAGAUGAUGGGAGCUUGGCUUGGCAGGCAGGCUGGACGUGCCAGAAACGCCCAUGCCAACACCGCACACGAAAAUGCCCGAGCACUUGGGAGCUUGGAACUUCUCAAUAAAUAAUGCACAGUUGCUGAGACAGGAGGAAAAGGGUGGGAUUGCCAGCCACCGAGCAGGAGGGGCUGGCUUGAGAAUGGGAGGCCCAGUGCUGUCUGAGGACAGAACCCUUGCUGUGCUCCUGUUCUGAGAGGCUUCAGGAAAUACCCACUGACCUCAGGUAGAAAAGGAACGAAGAGAAAGCUCUCAGAAACCAGGAUUUACUAGGAGAAUUCUAAGUAAGACAUACUUUCAGAGGAAGAACUGAAGAGCCACAGCGGGAACUGGGACAUCUCCAAGGAUCUUGGGAUUUAGGGACAACUCAGGCCACCAGGUGACUCGGCUCCAGUCACCUUCCAACUCUGGGUAUCGCGGCUCAACAUUCAAAUUUCUAGAGAGUCUGAUUGGCCUAGCUUCCGUCUGGUGCCCACCACCACGAUUGGGGUGAUUGGGGCCUCUGAGAGCCUUCUAGAACCACAUGGAGAGGGAGGGGCAGGAAAACAUUAUGUCCGCUAAGGUAGCGGCUAUGUCUUGUACACCUCACACUGCCUGACGCAGCAGGCGCUCAAGUUUUGUAGAGAAAAAGAACGUACGAAUGCAUGAACCUGCCUCCAAGAGGUCACGUCAUCUGCCCCAUCCAUGCCAGGCUUGUCCCAGGAUUCUAUUCUUCCAGAGACUGUGCACGGCCUUUCUCACGACCUGUCCCCCUGAGCAGGGGUAGGGUGUUGGACCCACUGGGUUAGCAGGGUCACGGGGCCUGGAGGGCAGGUCAGACGCAGAUCCACCAACCACCAGGAUAUGAAGACCAAGUCUUAGAUGCAAGAUCAACCCAGAGGAGCAGUACGAAUGUGUACUCCGCCAGAUUCUGCGCUCUGAGAUGCUCUCAGUAGUGGGUUUCCUGAGCACGAGUAGAUCUAUGAUCGCUGACUUUGCCUGCAACCUUCCAGCAAGAUGGCUCAUGCAAGCUUGGAGGGCAUGGGACCUCAGAAGUCACCUAGUGCCACCCCUUACUUUUUCAGAGCGGGGAACUGAGAUCUGGGGAGGUGUGGUGUUUUGCUCAAGAUCACAGCGUAUUCACAACAGGUCUCUUUGACCACAUGCUGUUCAGCGCUCUUUCUACCGUGCACUAGUGCCCUCUGUGCUGGCGGUGGGAUGCUGGGGACCCUGACCUUGAGCUUUUCCUUAGUGAUCUAGAUGUUAACUGACUUAUUCCCUCUGGGGGCCACUUUAUUCCACUCCUGUUUGGGGGUCAGUUGGCUGCAGACCCAGUCUAGGAUGGUUUUGGCUGGGACAACUGGGCUCUCCUCCACAAUGUCUCUUGUGAUCCAGCAGACCAUCCUGGGUUUGUCCUCAUGGUGGAGGAAGGGGUUAAGAGGGACAGCAGAAGCACUCGGGCCUCUGUUACAUUCUAAUGGCCAAAGCCAAUCAUAAGACCAGCUCAGAUUCAAGAGGCAGGGAAAUAGAUCCUACCUCUUAAUUGGAGGAGUCGUGUAUAUUUGCAAAACUCAUUGCAAAGUAUUAUUCAAAAUCACCAAAAAGUGGAAGCAACCCAAAUGUCUACCAUCUGACAAAUGAAUAGACAAAAUGCAGUAUUUCCAUCCAGUGUAAUAUUAUUGGCCACAAAAAGGAAUGGAGCACAGAUAUAUGCUACAACAUGUAUGAAUCUUGAAAACAUUAUGGUAAAUAAAACCAAGACACAAAAGAUGACAUAUUGUACAAUUCCACUUAUAUGUAAAGUCCAGAAUCUAUAGGGAUCCGUAGGCAAAACCAUAGGGACAGAAAGUAGAUUAGUGGUUUCCAGGGCCUGGGGAGAGGUGAGGACGGGGUUUCUUUUUAGGGGUGAUGAAAAUGUUCCAAAAUUAGUGGUGAUGGGUGCAUAAAUCUGUGAAUACGCUAGCAAUCACCGAAUUGAAUAAUUUAAAAGGUUGAAGUUUAUGUUAUAUGAAUUAUAUUUUAAUAAAGCUAUUACUUAAAAAGUAAACAAGUGAAAAAAAAACUUAUUGCAAAAUAAAUCUACCAAAAUAAGAAAACGUCUUUUUGGAAAGUGUAAAUCAAGGCAAUAAAAUUUUGAAACUUCAUCUCAUAUAUAGAAAUAUCUUGAUAAUUUACCUAGAAGUGAAAUUUAAGAUUUUAAAGAUAUUUAAUGGUUUUUGUUGUCCUCAUGGAACAAUAGUUGAAGUAACAUAUUGAGCUUUAUUGCUGGCGCUCAAGAAAAAUGAUCCCGCUGAGAAUUUACAAGCAAACACUGCUGAUUUUGUAUAGUGUUUUGCUAGCGUAUCUGCGUGUUGCUAGUGAGAAAGUCUAAGUUCUGGCCAAACUUUAGAAGAUUUUCUGCGUGUUUUAGUUUGAUACUUAGUGGGUAUAUUAAAUUUUCUGUGAAUGAUGCAAUAAAAGAUGUAACUCAAAUCACUUAAAAUCUCUUCUUGAAAAAGCAUUCUACUUACUAUCACAUCAAAUAAACGUCAGAGAAAAUUCGUGUAUCUUACAGAGAACCUAAAAAUGGAAAAUUAGAAGAAUAUUUGCAUCUCAAUGGGUGAGCUCUGAGGCACUAGAGCUGCAAAGGUAGUUUGACAAUUGAAUUGAGUCUUCAAUAUUAUCUUUAAUAGAAAUUAUAAAAUAGGAGUGGUUGACAUUUGGAAAAAGAAAACACUUAAACAGCUUUGGGUUUAAUAAAUGAUAUUCCAGCCAAGAUGUCAGGACUUUCUUUCGUUCUACAAGAAGCGUGUCGGCUAUUGAAGCU